AGGAAAAAGAUAUCUUGUGGAAAAAAAGCCCCACAGGAUCAGUUAAAUUGGGAAAGGCCUCAGAGGUCAUCGAAUCCAAGGCCGAUUAGCCAACAGCACCCUGUCAGCCAGAGCGUGGCACUGAGGGCCGCGCCCAGCCUUCCCUUAAACACCUGCAGGGGUGGUGACUCCGCCACCUCCCCGAAAAGCCCAGUCAAUAUCGAAUCACGCUUUCUGUGAAGGAAUUCCUCCUAAUGUCCAACACGGUCCAGCACAUUAUUGUAUUCUACUCUGAUAAGACCCUGUUAAUUCCCAAAUGAUCUUGUUCUCAUCAGAGGCACGGUGAGCACCUCACAGGCGUCGGGUCCAGGACCAGACAGGAAAGUGUUGGACGUCAUUUCACAGAGGAAUCAGUGAACAUAGAAACUGUACCAUGCUUUCUCAGCUGCAUAACUCAUGGAAAUCAGUGAGAUGCUGCCCUUGCGUUUUAAUCAAGAUGAACUUGAGAGGUGAACAUUCAUAUCAACAAUGGAGGAUAUAAUUUGGAAGAUGAAAUGUGAAAAUACAAGUACUGUGCUCACAUGCUGAAGUUUCCUUAGCUGGAGGGAAUUCUGGUGGAAACGGGGAAUAAUGCUGGAUUACUGUUUUCACACAAAAUGGAUAAGAAGAUUUUUCUCUUUUUUUGGAAUCCUGAUUUUAAAUGAAUAUGGUUUUCGGGAGGCUCUGAACCAUCAUGUGCUCCUAACCAGGGUGCUGGGGCAUAGAAACAGUGGCAGUCAGAGACAGCAAGCUACCAAGAGAAUCCAGUGCUGACAUCUUGACUUGGCAGUGCCUAUGGUUUCAUUUGUUCUUGGCCUGCACAGUCAGACAACAUCCUUGCCAGACCAGGACCGUCAGAUGUACCCAGAUAAUCUGCACUAAUCAGUGUGCAGCUGCGUCUGGAAAGAAGCAGAACAGACCCCUAAAGCUCAGCCUACUCUUCAUACCUGGGCAUUUGUUGUUGCUGGAAGAAUGGUACCUGGUGGCCUGGACCUUUGACUUGAUCACUCUGGUUAGUCUGAGGUUUUGAAGGCCAAUACAAUAGUGGGGUCCAAGAACUGGCUCUGAGAGUGCAAUGCUUUAAUACAGAGGUCCAAUUAAAAUACCCUGGAAGCCUG